UACAGAGGGUGCGAGCGUUAAUCGGAGUUACUGGGCGUAAAGGGCGCGCAGGCGGUUGGACAAGGGUAGUGUGAAAUCCCCGGGCUUAACCCGGGAACAGCAUUACAGACUGUCUGGCUGGAGUACUGUAGAGGGCAGUGGAAUUUCCGGUGUAGCGGUGAAAUGCGUAGAGAUCGGAAGGAACACCAGUGGCGAAGGCGGCUGUCUGGACAGAUACUGACGCUGAGGCACGAGAGCGUGGGGAGCAAACAGG
rnacentral:rRNA from 1 species